GCAGUCAUGGCCGAGUGGUUCAGGCGAUGGACUAGAAAUCCAUUGGGGUCUCCCCGCACAGGUUCGAAUCCUGUCGACUGCG
rnacentral:tRNA from 1 species